AUCUUUCUGGAGAUCCCUGCCUAGUAGAGGCCUUCUAAAGAAUUUACAAGCCAUUACCCAUCACAUCUAGAACAUUACUGGAGCUGUCGAGAUAAAGGAAUCAGCGUAGAAACAUUGUUCCACUGGGAAAUGUAAAAUGGCAUAAAGUUGGUCCCUCAACAGCCAAGCUGUCAGAUCCUUUGAGGAGCGGAAACGGAACCCACACAGCAUAUGGUGGUAGUUGGCUGUUCCCAGGGAAAGCUGUCUGGCUCUCUUAAAAUACAGACAGCCAAAGCAUUUGAGAAGUACUAAGAGGUGCUCCAGCCCUCUGAUCGUCUUUGUGACCCUCCUCUGGAUCCAUUCCAAUAGCUUCAACAGCUUCCAUAGAAGGGGUGCGAACAGUGGACUGUUGAUUAUCUACUUGGUCACUGGCUGUCUCCUUGGCUCUACCAUGGACCUUCCUGACUGUCUCUAUCACCCAGAAUUUGGAACAGUUCCAGGAUGGUAUUCUCCAAGGACAAUGGCUUAGAGGCUGUGUAAGCAAGCCUCCUCGCUCCUUCCUCCUUUCCUCAUAAACAGUCUUCCAAAAAACCCAGAGCUGGGUCCUAUAUAGCGUGCAUGGGGUUAAUCUUCUCUAGAAGGAGUGAAGCCUAAGCAGAGUUCACAUAGCCCAGUCUGUGUGAUAUGGACUAAAGACCAAGGUUUGGUGCCUGGCUUGUUUAUUGUACAUGCUAAAUAGUACAUUUAUAGUACAUAUGUUAGUUCACGGCACUGUGGUACGUGCUAAAGCUAAAUCUUAGUCCUCAGUUUGAAUCUUAAUUUCAUUACUGUUCAUGAACAAUCUUGAGUAGUGUUUCAUGUAGCCACUAAGCCUAUGGGCUUUUUAGGAUCAUUGUAAGGAGGUGAGAUCUUGUAUCACAUUUAUCUAUACUGUAAAAUGUACUUGAACAGGACUGCUUCAGGUAAUCUCUUUCAGAAACGAAAGUUGUGCUGA
rnacentral:lncRNA from 1 species